rnacentral:misc_RNA from 1 species
GGAAGUAAAAGUUGUAACAAGGUUUCCGUAGGUGAACCUGCGGAAGGAUCAUUCAUAAUAAAGUGUUUUAUGGCACUUUUUAAAAAUCCAUAUCCACCUUGUGUGCAAUGUUAGAUCCCGUCAAUCUUGGCGAGAUUUUUAUACAUCAACUCAUUCUUUAACUAAUUUGUCUGAAAAAUAUUAUGAAUACUUAAUUCAAAAUACAACUUUCAACAACGGAUCUCUUGGCUCUC